UUUUGAGUCUUAAGUUUCUUAAAACCUGGGAUUAAACUGUAUCUUAUGUUAAAAGGGUAGCCUAAAUUUCAUUUUUCCAAAACAAAGAUUACGAAAACCGGUGUGAUUUUAAAUACAAGUUCGCGCGCUAGCCCUAGCCGCAUCCCCGCUAUUUUCCCCCAUCUCUCUCAAUUCUUCUUUGUCUCUCAACUAUUUGCGAUUCUUUCUCCUUAAUUUCCAGGUUACUGAAGGAUUCGAAGCGGUUUGCCAUCACUUUUUGGGCAUUUUUAAGCUGCCAUUCCAUGGGAUCUCAUUGCUAGGACAUCUUAAAGGCACAUGAAACUGAUCCUGAAUGGUUAGUGACACAGAGAAAGACUGAGGUUGGCAUCGUAAAGGUUGGAUCAGCAAGUAUUAUGCAGAUUUGGAAAAGUACAAACAAUAGAAAUCACACUCAAAGGUAAAGACUCCUUGGUCGAAGAGAGAGAAAGAAAGGAGGAGAAAAGAUGAAACAUUUCUCACCUUCCAUGGAAAGGUGCUAACACUUGGUGUAACGGACAUACUUGUCCAAGGUGUGUUUACCUAUGGCCGUAUGCUCCGAGUAGCCCCAAUUUAUAUUGUCUUUAUGUCUUAUACAUAGUUUAGUUAGUUACUUUCAAUUUCAAGUCGAUAUGCUUGGGUGUGACAUUUCGGCAUUUUCAUAUGCAAGCCUACCAGAACUGAAAAUCUUCAAAAUGUACUAGGCAUACCUGUUGAAUCACUGUUCAAGUCUUGUCGUACUUUUUGCAAUCUAUGCUUUCUUAUUGCAA